GAAUUUCCAAAGAGAGUUGUUUCUGCGGUCAAAAUGUAGUAUCGGUUCUUAUCAGCUUAAUAUCUGAAACGGAUUCUAUUUGGACUUAAGAUAAUAAAGUUAUGUUUGCAAGUGGCGGAGUGCUCAAAGCCUGCUUCACCUCCGCCGCCGAUCGGCCCGGUAUUGCACUAUCUUCGAGAUCGGCCGAAGUAUG